GAUAGCCAGAUAAAUAGAAUGAGAGAGAGAGGGAGGGAGAGAGACAGACAGACAGAUCAAUAGAAAGAUAGAUGGAUAAAUAGAUAGAUAGAUAGAUGGAUGGAUAGAUAGAUAGAGAGAGAGACGGGUAGAUAGAUAACCAGAUAAAUAGAAAAAUAGAUUGAUAGGUGCAUAGACAGAUAAGUAGAAAAAUAUUUCAAUGGAUAUUCUGACAGACAGAUCGACAAAUAAAUAGAAAGAUAGAUGGUAGACAUGGAAAGAUACAUAGAAAGAUAGUGGAUGGAAGAGAGCUAGAUAGACAGACAAACAGAUAAAAUGAUAGAUAAAUGGAUACACAGACAGACAGGCAGAAAGACAGAAAAACAAACAGAGAAAUAGGAAGGUAGAUGAUAGGUAGACAAACAGACAGAUAGACACAUAAAGGGAAAGAUAGAUGGAUGAAUGGAUAAACAGAUAGACAGGCAGACAGACAGACUGACCGGAGAUAAAUGGAAAGAUUGAUAGAUGUAUAGAUGGACCGACAGAUGGAUAGACAAAUAAAUAGCAAAAUAAGUACAUAGAUGGGUAGACAGCCAACUGGACAGCCAGAUAGACAGAUAAAUAGAAAGUUAGAUAGAUAGAUGGAUAGAUAGGCAAAAAUAGACAGAUAGAUAGAAAGGUAGAUAGGUGGAUAGACAGCCAGAUACAGACAGAUGGCGACUCACAGACAGAUAGACAAAUAGCAAGAUAGAUAAAUAUAAAGAUUAGAUGGAUGGGUAGAGAGAGAGAGACAGUGAGACAGACAAGACAGACAGAGAUACAGACAAUGAGACAGAUAGAUAAAUAGUCAAACAGAUAAAUACAAAGAUAGAUAGGUGCGUAGACAGAGAGACAAAUAGAUAAGUAAAGAAAUACACAAAGAUAGACAGACAGACAGAUAGAUAGACAGAUAGCUAAAUAGAGAUAAAUAGAAAGAUAGAUAGAAGGAUAAAGAGCCAGAUAGACAGACAGAUAGCUGUACAGACACACAGACGGAGAAAGAUAGAGAAAUAUAGAGACAGAUAGACAGAUGCAUAGGAAAAUAGCUAGCUAGCGAGAAGGAUAGACAUAUACACAGAAUAGAUAGAGAGAUGAAUAGAAAGAUAGAAGAAUAGGCAGAUAGACAUACAUAUAGACAGAUACAUGGAUGAAUAGAAAGAUAGAUAAAUGGAUGGACAGUGAGAUAGACAGACAGUUAGAUAGAAAGAUACAUAAAAGGACAGAUAAAUAGAUAGAAAAAUAGAUAAAUGGAUGGAUAGACAGCUAACCAGAAAGAUAAAUAGAUAGAUAGAUGGACAGAAAAACAGACACACACAUAGAUGGAUAGAUAAACAGAUAGAUAGAUGGAUAGACAGAUAAAUAGAAAGAUAGAUGGAUAGAGACACAGCCAGACAGAUAAAUACAAAGAUAGUUAGAUUAAAGACAGAUUGAUAAACAGAAAGAUAGAUAGAUAGAUGGAUAGAUAUGCAGUCAAAUAAGUAGAAAGAUAGUUACAUAGAAAGAUUGAUGGACAGAUAGACAGAUAAAUAGAGACUGGUGGAUGGAUACAUAAACUGAGAGAGAUAUAGACAGAUAAAUAGAAAGAUAGCUAGAGAGAUGGACAGAUAAAUAGAAAGAUAAAUGAAUAGACAGAUCAGAAGAUAAAUAGAAACAUAGAUCGAUAGACAUAUCCAUCUAUCUUUCUAUUUGUCUAUUUAUCUGUCUGUCCAUCUCUCUAGCCAUCUUUCUGUCUAAUCCACCUAUCUAUCCAUCUAUCUUUCCAUGUAUCUAUCUCUCUAUCUAUUUGACUAUCAAUGUCUUCUUAUCUGUCUACCCAUCUAUUUGUCUCUAUUUAUCUGUCUAUAGACCUAGCUAUCUAUCUUUCCAUCUAGCUAUCUUUUUAUUUAUCUGUCUCUAUCUGUGUAUCUAUCCGUCUUUCUAUUUAUCUAUCUAUCCAUCUUUCUAUGUAUGUAUGUAUAUAUUUAUGUAUGUAUCUGUCUGUCUAUCUAUCUAUCUAUAUCAAUUUGAUUGUAUAAGCAUCAAUCUUCUUAUCUGUCUAUCCAUGUAGCUAUCUAUCUUUCUGUUUAUCUAUCUGGCUGUCUAUAGAUCUAUCUGUCUUUCUAGUUUUCUGUCUAUCUAGCUGUAUGUCUACCUGUCUGUCUAUGCUUCUAUUUAUCUAUAUUUCUGUUUAUUAGUCUAUCUCUCUAUCUUUCUAUUUAUCUAUGUGUCUAUAUGUCUGUUUGUCUGUCUACCCAUCUACCUACCUUUUCUUUUAUCUGUCUUUCUGUCCAUCUAUCUAUCUUUCUAUUCAUCUUUCUAUCUAUGUCUGUCAGGCUUUCUAUUGCUAUAUCUCUCUAUUUUUCUACUCAACUGUCUCUCUUUCUGUCUGGCUGAGACAGACAGACAGACAGAAAGAUAGAUAGUAGAUAAAUAGAAAUAUAGAUAGAUGGAUAGACAGAUAAAUAGCAAGAUAUAUGGAUAGAUAGAUAGAUAAACAGAAAGAUGGAUAGAUAGAUAAAUAGAAAGAUAGGUAGAUGAAUAGACAGAAAGAUAAAUAGAAACAUAGAUCGAUUGAUAGACAGAUAAAUGGAUAGAUAGACAGAUAGGUGUAUAGACAGAUAGAUAAAUAGAAAGACAGAUAGAUGGAUAGACAAGGAUAAACAGGCAGAAAGAUGAAUAGGAAGAUAGAUAAAUGGGCAAACACACAACCAACCAGAGAGACAGAUAAGUAAAAAGACAGAGAGAUAGAGAAAUAGAAAGCCAGAUAGACAAAUAGAGAGAUGAAUAGAAAGAUUGAUAUAUGCACAGGCAGACAGAUAAAUGAUAGACAGAAAGACAAAUAGAUAAAUAGAAAGACAGAUAGAUGGAUAGAAGAUAGACAAACAGGCAGAAAGAUACAUAGAUAAAUAGAAAAAUAGAUAAAUGGAUAGAAACACAGCCAGUCAUUCAGCCAGGCGGGCAGUCAACAAGACAGGCAGAUAGAUAAAUAGAUGAUUCGAAAGAUGUCGGAUAAAUAGAAAUAUAGAUAUAUAGACAAAUAAAUAGAUGGAUAGACAGAAAUAUGGCUAGAUAGAUGGAUAGAUAUACAGAUAGAAAAAUAGAUGGAUAGACAGAUAGAAAGAUAAAUAGAUACAUAGAUUGGUACACAGAUAGAUGGUAGACAGACAGAUAGAUAAAUAGAUAAUAGGUGUAUAGACAGAUAAACAGAAAGACAGACAGACAAAUAGGCAGAAAGAUAGAGAGAGAAAUGGAUAGACAUAGCCAGUCAGCUAGCCAGGCAGCCAACCAGAUAGAGACAGAUAAGUAGAAAGAGAGCGAUAGAAAUCCAGGUAAACAAAUAGGCAGAUAAAAAGAUGAAUAGAAAGAUAGAUAGAUAGAUGGACAGAUAGACAGAUAAAUGGAAAGGUAGGUAGUUAGGUGGAUAGACAGACAGACACUUAGAUAAAUAGAAAGACAGAUAGAUGUAUAGAGAGACAGGUAGAUCAAUAAAUAGAAAUUAGAUAGAAGCAUAGACAGGUAGAUAGACAUACAAAUGGAUCAACAGAUAAAUAGAAAGGUAGAUAGAUAGAUGUAUAGACAGCCAGAUAGAGACAUACAGAUAGAUUGAAAGAUAGAUAGAUGGAUAGACAAAUAGACAGAUUGAUGGAUAGAUAGGCAUACAGUCAAAUAGACACAUAGAAAGAUAGAUGGAGAGAUAGAUAAAUAGAAAGAUAGAUGGAUACACAGACAGAGAGACAGAUAGAUACAUGGAACAAUGUCUAGAGAGAUGGAUAGACAGAUGGAAAGAGAAAUAGAAAGAUAGGUAAAUGGAUAUAAAGACAGAUCAAAAGAUAAAUAGAAACUUAGGCAGAUGGACAGACAGGAAGAUAUAGAGAUAAAUGGAAAGAGAGGUGGCUAGGUGUAUAGACAGAUAUAGAAAGACAAAAAGAUGGAUAGACAGAUAAUCCGACAAACAGGCAGAAACAUAUAUAGAUAAAUAGAAAAGUAGACACACACAGCUAGUCAAUCAGGCAGCCGAUGAGCCAGAAAGACAGAGAGACAGAUGAUUAGAAAGAUAGCAGAUAAAUAGAAUGAUAGAUGAAUAGAUAGAUAAGUAGAAAGAUAAAUGGAUAGACAGGGAGAAAAAGAUAGAUAAACAGAGAGAUGGCUAGAUGGAUGGAUAGAUACACAGAUAGAUUGAUGGAUAGACAGAAAGCUAAAUUGAAACAUACAGAGAUUGGUACACAUAUAGAUGGAUAUGCAGACAGAAAGAUAGAUAAAUGGAUAGAUAGGUAUUUAGAGAGAUAGAUAUAUAGACAGAUAAAUAGAAAGGCAGAUAGAUGGAUAGACUGAUAGAAGGACAAAUAAGCAGAAAGAUAGAUGAAUAGAAAGAUAGAUAGCCAAAUGGACAGACACACAGCAGUCAGGCAGCCAACCAGCUAGUCAAACAGAUAGAAACAGAUAACAAGAAAUAUAUAGAGAUAGAGCAAUAGAAAGCCAUAUAGACAAAUAGACAAUUAGAGAGAUGAAUGGAAAGAGAGACAGAUAGAUAAAUGGAAAGAUAGGUAGAUAGAUAGAGACAGGCAGAUAGACAGGUAGAUAGAGAGAUGGCUAGAAGACACUCAGAUAAAUAAAUACAAAAAUAGAUAGAUGGAUAGACAAAUAAACAGAAAUAUGGAUAGAUAGAUAGAUGGAUAGACACCCAGCCAGUCAGUCUGCCAGCCAGCUAGACAGACAGGAAGAUAAUUAGAAAGAAAGAUAGAUAUAUGAAUAGACAGACAUAGAGUCAGACAUACAUACAGAAAGUUAGAUAGACAGCACAUAUAUAGAAAUAUAGAUGUAUAAAUAGAUAUCCAGACAGAUAGAUAAUUAGAUAAGUAGAAAGAUAGAUAGAUGGAUAGUUAGAUAUACAGAAAGAUAGAUAAGUAGAAAGAAAAAUAGACAUAAAUAGAAAGCUCAAUAGAAUGAUAGAUAAACUGUUAGAUAGUUGAACAGACAGAUAAAUAGAAAUAUAGACAGGUAGAUAGAUAUAGAGAUAGAGCAAAAGAUAAAUAGAAAGGUAGAUAGAUGGAUAGACAGCCAGAUAGAAAGACAUACACAUAGAAAGAUAAAUAGAAUGUUAUAUAGAUAGAAGGAUAGACAGAUAGACAGUCAAAUAGACAGGAAAAGAGAUAGCCCAGUGGAUGGAUAUAUAAAUAGAGCGACAGACAGAUAGACAGAUGAAUAGAAAGAUUGCUAGAGAGAUGGAUAGAUGUACAGAUAAAUAGAAAGAUAGAUGGCUAGACAUCAAAAGAUAAAUAGAAACAGAUGGAUAGACAGGCAGAUAGAUAAAGUGAAAAAUAGAUGUACAGACAGAUAAAUAAAGAGAUAGAUGGAUAGACAAACAGACAAAGAGGCAGAAAGAUACAAAGUAAAUAGGUAGAUGGACACACAGCCAGUCACUUAGCCAGCUAGGCAACCAACAAGAUAGACAGACAGAUAGAUGAUUAGAAAGAUAAAUAGCAGAUAAAUAGAAAUAUAGAUGGAUGGACAUAGAUAGAUAUAGAUAGACAGAUAAAUAGAAGGCUAGAUGUAUAGACAGAUAGAUAAACAGAAAGCUGGCCAGAUAGAUGAAUAGAAACAGACACAUAUAUAGAUAGAUGGAUAGACAGGAAGAUAAAUAGAAACAUAGAUACAUAGACAAACAGAUCGAUAAAAUGGACAGAUUGGUAGAUAGGUGUAUAGACAGACAGAUAUAUAGACAGAUAAAUAGAAAGCUAGAGAUCUGGAUAUACAGACAGGUAAGCAGGCAGAAAGAUAGAUAAAUAGAAAGAUAGAUAGAUAAAUGGACAGACACACAGCCAGCCAGCCAUUCAGUCAGUCAACCAGCCAGGCAGCCAACCAGACAAAGAGACAUAUAGUAGAAAGAGAGAUAGAGUAAUAGAAAGCCAGAAAGACAAAUAGACAGAGAGAUGAUAGAUAGACAGAUAAAUGGGGAGGUAGGUAGAUAGGUGAAUAUACAGAGAGACAGACAGACAGACAGAAAGAUACAUACAUACAUAUAUACAUACAUAGAAAGACAGAUAAAUAGAAAGAGAUGACUAGAGAGAAAGACAGACAUUCAGAUAAAUAAAAAGAUAGAUGGAUAGAUAGAAAGAUAAAUAGAAAUAUGGAUAAAUAGAUGGAUAGACAGAAAUACAGAAAUAUAUAUAGAUGAACAGACAGAUAAAUAGAAAGAUAGAUGGAUAAAUAGAUAAGUAGAAAGAUAGAGGGAUAGACAGAAAAAGGCAGAUAGAUAAAUAGCAAUAGAUAGACAGAUAAAUAGAAAGCUAAUAGUUAGAUGAACAGAUAAAUAGAAAGAUAGAUAGAAUGAUAGAUGAAUAGACAACCAGACAGACAGAUAGCUACAUAGAACAUAUAUAGAGAUAUAGAUAGACAAAUAGAUAAUUAGAUAAAUAGAAAGAUAGAAUGAUAGAUAAGUUGAAAGAUAGAAUAGACAGAUGAACAAAUAGAAAGAUAGAAAGAUGUAGUUGGAUAGACAGACAUAUAAAUAGAAAUAUAGAUAGAAGCAUAAACAGACAGAUAGAUAGACAUACAGAUAGAUCGACAGAUAAAUAGAGAUAGAUAGAUAGAUAGAUUGACAGCCAGAUAGAGACAUACAGAUAAAUAGAAAGAUAGAUAGUUAGAUGGAUAGACGGAAAGACAAAUAAGAAGAUAGAUGGAUAGAUAGUCAAAUAGACAGAGAUAGAUACAUAAAUAGCUAGACAGAUAAAUAGACAGAUGGAUACACAGAGAGACAGAUAAAUAGAAAGAUAGAGAGAUGGAUAGACAGACAGAAAA